rnacentral:rRNA from 1 species
GACGAACGCUGGCGGCGUGCCUAACACAUGCCAGUAGAACGCAAAGUCUCUACCGUCGCUGGCUACACCAUUGACUGUGGGUUGCGAAAGGGUGAGGUACGCGUAGCUAAACUUUCGGGUAGCUGGGGAUAACUAUUGGUAACGCUAGCUAAUACCGCAUACUAUUUAUUAUUGCAUGGAAAUUUAUUGAAAGGUGCAAUGGAAUCACUACUUGACAGCCCUGUGGUGUCUUAGCUAGUAGGCGAGGUAACGGCGCCACUAGGCGACGAUACAGUGCCCACCUGAGAGGGUGAGCGGCCACCCUGGGAGUGGGACACGGCCCAGAGGCCUACGGGAGGCAGCAGUAGGGAAUCGUCGGCAAGGGGCGAAAGUCUGACCGAGCUACGCCGCGUGAGUGAAGAAGGUUUUCGGGUCGUAAAGCUCUGUUGUAAGAGAAGAACGGGUGUGAGAGUGGAAAGUUCACACUGUGACGGUAACUUACCAGAAAGCGACGGCUAACUACGUG